AUUGAACGCUGGCGGCAGGCCUAACACAUGCAAGUCGAGCGGAUGAAGGGAGCUUGCUCCUGGAUUCAGCGGCGGACGGGUGAGUAAUGCCUAGGAAUCUGCCUGGUAGUGGGGGAUAACGUCCGGAAACGGGCGCUAAUACCGCAUACGUCCUGAGGGAGAAAGUGGGGGAUCUUCGGACCUCACGCUAUCAGAUGAGCCUAGGUCGGAUUAGCUAGUUGGUGGGGUAAAGGCCUACCAAGGCGACGAUCCGUAACUGGCCUGAGAGGAUGAUCAGUCACACUGGAACUGAGACACGGUCCAGACUCCUACGGGAGGCAGCAGUGGGGAAUAUUGGACAAUGGGCGAAAGCCUGAUCCAGCCAUGCCACGUGUGUGAAGAAGGUCUUCGGAUUGUAAAGCACUUUAAGUUGGGAGGAAGGGCAGUAAGUUAAUACCUUGCUGUUUUGACGUUACCAACAGAAUAAGCACCGGCUAACUUCGUG
rnacentral:rRNA from 1 species